rnacentral:misc_RNA from 1 species
GGAAACUUGCAUCUUUGGUUUCCUCUGUAGAAGAUGCUGUAGAACUUAUGGAAUUUGCUCUUCAAGAGAACUCUUCCGUCCUUGCUGCAUCAUGUUUGCGAGUUUUCUUGCAGGAGCUUCCUACUUGUUUGAAUGAUGAUCGAGUGGUGGAAAUAUUUAGCCAUGCUGAUAAACAAAAAAGAAUUAUUAUGGUUGGGGCUGCCUCAUUUUCUCUGUACUGUUUAUUAAGUGAAGUUGCCAUGAACCUUGAUCCUCAGUCCAAU